GGAAUUUUGGGCAAUGGGCGAAAGCCUGACCCAGCAACGCCGCGUGAAGGAUGAAGUAUUUCGGUAUGUAAACUUCGUAAGAAUGGGAAGAAUAAAUGACGGUACCAUUUGUAAGGUCCGGCUAACUACGUGCCAGCAGCCGCGGUAAUACGUCGGGACCAAGCGUUGUUCGGAUUUACUGGGCGUAAAGGGUGCGUAGGCGGCGCGUCAAGUCAGUUGUGAAAUCUUAAGGCUUAACCUUAAGCGGUCAACUGAUACUGUCGUGCUAGAGUGCAGAAGGGGCAAUCGGAAUUCUUGGUGUAGCGGUGAAAUGCGUAGAUAUCAAGAGGAACACCUGAGGUGAAGACGGGUUGCUGGGCUGACACUGACGCUGAGGCACGAAAGCUAGGGUAGCAAAC
rnacentral:rRNA from 1 species